CACAGAUUUGUUGGAAUCCUGACCAAACUGGAAAAGUGGCAGUAACCAUGGAAAAGUCAAAGACAAAAUGACAGCCAAAUCACACCAGUAAAUAAGUGGAGUGAAGACACGUCUGUUUUCACAGCUGAACACUGGAAAUUGCAAAUUUGAUUGCCACUGGCAUUGGAUGCUGGAACUGCUUCUGUUUUUACUGACACUAGCAUACCGGGAUACUUCGAAGUUGCUGUAGUCUCUGCAAUAUUGAGUGUUGGAAGGUGCUAGAAAAUGAGUGUCUGUCUUUUUUGUCUUUUAUACUGGAAGGCAAUCACCUAGACCUAUGCUGGAGAGUCAUCCUACAAGGUCAUUCAAAUGUACAAUAAACUGCUUUUGUUCUUGCCUACAGUCAUGUAAUGAGGAACAAAAA
rnacentral:lncRNA from 1 species